GGCGAACGGGUGAGUAACACGUGGAUAACCUGCCCUCGGCACCGGAAUAGCCCGGGGAAACCCGGAUUAAUGCCGGAUAGCCCCACAUCCCUGCGGGGAACGUGGGAAAAGGUAGCUUCGGCCUCUGGCCGAGGAUGGGACCGCGGUGGAUUAGCUUGUUGGUGCGGGUAAUGGCCCACCAAGGCGACGAUCCAUAGCUGGUCUGAGAGGACGAUCAGCCACACUGGGACUGAGACACGGCCCAGACUCCUACGGGAGGCAGCAGUAGGGAAUCUUGCGCAAUGGGCGAAAGCCUGACGCAGCGACGCCGCGUGCGGGAAGAAGGCCUUCGGGUUGUAAACCGCUUUCAGGAGGGACGAAGCCACUCGGGUGAAUAGCCCAGAGGGUGACGGUACCUCCAGAAGAAGCCCCGGCUAACUACGUGCCAGCAGCCGCGGUAAUACGUAGGGGGCAAGCGUUGUCCGGAUUCAUUGGGCGUAAAGAGCGUGUAGGCGGCCAGGUAGGUCGGUUGUGAAAACUGGAGGCUCAACCUUCAGAGGUCGACCGAAACCAUCUGGCUAGAGUCCGGGAGAGGAGAGUGGAAUUCCUGGUGUAGCGGUGAAAUGCGCAGAUAUCAGGAAGAACACCCGUGGCGAAAGCGGCUCUCUGGAACGGUACUGACGCUGAGACGCGAAAGCGUGGGGAGCGAACAGGAUUAGAUACCCUGGUAGUCC
rnacentral:rRNA from 1 species